AUUCCAAGCUUGUUUGAUCCUGGCUCAGGAUGAACGCUGGCGGCGUGCCUAAUACAUGCAAGUCGAGCGAGGUUCUUCGGAACCUAGCGGCGGACGGGUGAGUAACACGUGGGUAACCUGCCUGUAAGACUGGGAUAACUUCGGGAAACCGAAGCUAAUACCGGAUACUUUCGAGCAUCGCAUGAUGCUUGAUGGAAAGACGGCUUCGGCUGUCACUUACAGAUGGACCCGCGUCGCAUUAGCUAGUUGGUGAGGUAACGGCUCACCAAGGCGACGAUGCGUAGCCGACCUGAGAGGGUGAUCGGCCACACUGGGACUGAGACACGGCCCAGACUCCUACGGGAGGCAGCAGUAGGGAAUCUUCGGCAAUGGGCGAAAGCCUGACCGAGCAACGCCGCGUGAGCGAUGAAGGCCUUCGGGUCGUAAAGCUCUGUUGUUAAGGAAGAACAAGUACGAGAGUAACUGCUCGUACCUUGACGGUACUUAACGAGAAAGCCACGGCUAACUACGUGCCAGCAGCCGCGGUAAUACGUAGGUGGCGAGCGUUAUCCGGAAUUAUUGGGCGUAAAGCGCGCGCAGGCGGUUUCUUAAGUCUGAUGUGAAAGCCCACGGCUCAACCGUGGAGGGUCACUGGAAACUGGGAAACUUGAGUGCAGAAGAGGAAAGCGGAAUUCCACGUGUAGCGGUGAAAUGCGUAGAGAUGUGGAGGAACACCAGUGGCGAAGGCGGCUUUCUGGUCUGUAACUACGCUAGGCGCAAAGCUGACC
rnacentral:rRNA from 1 species